rnacentral:rRNA from 1 species
CGUUCUGCAAGGUGCUGCAUGGUUGUCGUCAGCUCGUGCCGUGAGGUGUCGGGUUAAGUCCCAUAACGAGCGCAACCCUUAUCGUUAGUUGCCAUCUGGUAAUGCAGGGGACUCUAGCGAAACUGCCACCGUAAGGUGAGAGGAAGGUGGGGAUGACGUCAAAUCAGCACGGCCCUUAUGUCCAGGGCUACACACGUGCUACAAUGGCCGGUACAGACGGAGGCGAAGCCGCGAGGCGGAGCAAAUCCGAAAAAGCCGGUCUCAGUUCGGAUUGCAGGCUGCAAUUCGCCUGCAUGAAGUCGGAAUCGCUAGUAAUCGCAGGUCAGCAUACUGCGGUGAAUACGUUCCCGGGCCUU